rnacentral:rRNA from 1 species
AUGCAAGUCGAACGAUGAAGCCCAGCUUGCUGGGUGGAUUAGUGGCGAACGGGUGAGUAACACGUGAGCAACCUGCCCCUGACUCUGGGAUAACAGCCGGAAACGGUUGCUAAUACCGGAUAUGCAUCAUGGCCGCAUGGUCUGUGAUGGGAAAGAUUUUUCGGUUGGGGAUGGGCUCGCGGCCUAUCAGCUUGUUGGUGAGGUAGUGGCUCACCAAGGCGUCGACGGGUAGCCGGCCUGAGAGGGUGACCGGCCACACUGGGACUGAGACACGGCCCAGACUCCUACGGGAGGCAGCAGUGGGGAAUAUUGCACAAUGGGCGGAAGCCUGAUGCAGCAACGCCGCGUGAGGGACGACGGCCUUCGGGUUGUAAACCUCUUUUAGCAGGGAAGAAGCGAAAGUGACGGUACCUGCAGAAAAAGCGCCGGCUAACUACGUGCCAGCAGCCGCGGUAAUACGUAGGGCGCAAGCGUUAUCCGGAAUUAUUGGGCGUAAAGAGCUCGUAGGCGGUUUGUCGCGUCUGCUGUGAAAACCCGAGGCUCAACCUCGGGCCUGCAGUGGGUACGGGCAGACUAGAGUGCGGUAGGGGAGAUUGGAAUUCCUGGUGUAGCGGUGGAAUGCGCAGAUAUCAGGAGGAACACCGAUGGCGAAGGCAGAUCUCUGGGCCGUUACUGACGCUGAGGAGCGAAAGGGUGGGGAGCAAACAGGCUUAGAUACCCUGGUAGUCCACCCCGUAAACGUUGGGAACUAGUUGUGGGGGCCUUUCCACGGUCUCCGUGACGCAGCUAACGCAUUAAGUUCCCCGCCUGGGGAGUACGGCCGCAAGGCUAAAACUCAAAGGAAUUGACGGGGACCCGCACAAGCGGCGGAGCAUGCGGAUUAAUUCGAUGCAACGCGAAGAACCUUACCAAGGCUUGACAUACACCGG